UACGGAGGGUGCGAGCGUUGUCCGGAAUCAUUGGGCGUAAAGAGUUCGUAGGUGGUACGUUAAGUCAGAUGUUAAAGGCGCAGGCUCAACCUGUGUAAGGCAUUUGAUACUGGCGAACUAGAAUGCGGUAGAGGUAAAGGGAAUUCCUGGUGUAGCGGUGAAAUGCGUAGAUAUCAGGAGGAACAUCGGUGGCGUAAGCGCUUUACUGGGCCGUAAUUGACACUGAGGAACGAAAGCCGGGGUAGCAAAUGGG
rnacentral:rRNA from 1 species